rnacentral:rRNA from 1 species
UACGUAGGGGGCGAGCGUUAUCCGGAAUUAUUGGGCGUAAAGAGCUCGUAGGCGGUUUGUCGCGUCUGCCGUGAAAGUCCGGGGCUCAACUCCGGAUCUGCGGUGGGUACGGGCAGACUAGAGUGAUGUAGGGGAGACUGGAAUUCCUGGUGUAGCGGUGAAAUGCGCAGAUAUCAGGAGGAACACCGAUGGCGAAGGCAGGUCUCUGGGCAUUAACUGACACUGAGGAGCGAAAGCAUGGGGAGCGAACAGG